UUUUUUUAGUAGGAUCAUUUCAUGGUACGUGCUACUCGGAUAGUCGUAAUAAUUCUAGAGCUAAUAUGUCCAACAAAUCCCGACUUCCGGAAGGGAUGCAUUUAUUAGAUAAAAAGUUGACGCGGGCUUUGUUCGUUGCUCCGAUAAUUCAUGAUAACUCAACGGAUCGCACAAUCCUCAUGCGGCGAUGCAUCAUUCAAAUUUCUGCCCUAUCAGCUUUCGAUGGUAGGAUUGGGGCCUACCAUGGUGGUGACGGGAAAUUGCCAGGAGGGAAGUGGAUGGGAGUCGGCAAUGCACCUUGGUCGGAUGCAGAA
rnacentral:ncRNA from 1 species